GAUGAACGCUGGCGGCGUGCCUAAUACAUGCAAGUCGAGCGAACAGAUGAGGAGCUUGCUCCUCUGACGUUAGCGGCGGACGGGUGAGUAACACGUGGAUAACCUACCUAUCAGACUUGGAUAACUUCGGGAAACCGGAGCUAAUACCGGAUAAUAUAUUGAACCGCAUGGUUCAUUAGUGAAAGACGGUUUUGCUUUCACUUAUAGAUGGAUCCGCGCCGCAUUAGCUAGUUGGUAAGGUAACGGCUUACCAAGGCAACGAUGCGUAGCCGACCUGAGAGGGUGAUAGGCCACACUGGAACUGAGACAAGGUCAAGACUCCUACGGGAGGCAGCAGUAGGGAAGCUUCCGCAAUGGGCGAAAGACUGACGGAGCAACGCCGCGUGAGUGAUGAAGGUCUUCGGAUCGUAAAAAUCUGUUAUUAGGGAAGAACAAAUGUGUAAGUAACUAUGCACGUCUUGACGGUACCUAAUCAGAAAGCCACGGCUAACUACGUG
rnacentral:rRNA from 1 species